GACGAACCGUGCGAACGUUAUUCGGAAUCACUGGGCUUAAAGCGCGUGUAGGCGGGCCGGCACGUCGGACGUUGAAAUCCCCCGGCUCAACCGGGGAAGGGCGCCGAUACGACCGGCCUGGAGGAACGUAGGGGGGGAGCUGGAACUUCCGGUGGAGCGGUGAAAUGCGUUGAGAUCGGAAGGAACGCCCGUGGCGAAAGCGAGCUCCUGGACGUUUCUGACGCUGAGACGCGAAAGCCAGGGGAGCGGAACGGG
rnacentral:rRNA from 1 species